CUCACCCUUCCUUGCUUUUCCCGCCUAUAUACCACCGUCGUCAGCUUACCCUGUGAAGGUUUUAUAGUAAGCAAAGUUGGCACAGCCUAAAACGUCAGGUCGAGGUGUAGUGCAUGAGAGGGGAAGAAAUGGGCUACAUUCGCUACUAAUAGCGAAUUACGAAUGUUGCAUUGAAACAUGCAGCUGAAGGAGGAUUUAGCAGUAAGCAGAAAGCAGAGCGUCCCGCUGAAACUGGCCCUAAAGCGCGCACACACCGCCCGUCACCCUCCCCAAGCUUCCGGCCCUAAUUAACUAAAACCCUACAACUGCAAAGGAGAGGAAAGUCGUAACAUGGUAAGUGUACCGGAAGGUGCGCUUGGAAAAAU
rnacentral:rRNA from 1 species